rnacentral:rRNA from 1 species
CAGUCGCCGCGGUAAUACGAAGGGUGCAAGCGUUAAUCGGAAUUACUGGGCGUAAAGCGCGCGUAGGCGGUUUGUUAAGUCUGUUGUGAAAUCCCCGGGCUCAACCUGGGAAUGGCAAUGGAUACUGGCAAGCUAGAGUGUGUCAGAGGAUGGUGGAAUUCCCGGUGUAGCGGUGAAAUGCGUAGAGAUCGGGAGGAACAUCAGUGGCGAAGGCGGCCAUCUGGGACAACACUGACGCUGAGGCACGAAAGCGUGGGGAGCAAACAGGAUUAGAUACCCGAGUAGUCCCUGUCUCUUAUAC